rnacentral:rRNA from 1 species
GCAGCCGCGGUAAUACAGAGGUCUCUAGCGUUGUUCGGAUUUACUGGGCGUAAAGGGCGCGUAGGCGGCGCGAUGUGUCGGAUGUGAAAUCUCCAGGCUCAACCUGGAAAGUGCGUCCGAAACUGUCGUGCUAGAGUACGGGAUGGGGAAUCGGAAUGCAAGGUGUAGCGGUGAAAUGCGUUGAUAUCUUGCAGAACACCGGAGGCGAAGGCGGAUUCCUGGAACGUUACUGACGCUGAGGCGCGAAAGUCGGGGGAGCAAACAGGAUUAGAUACCCC